UACGGGGGGAGCCAGCGUUGUUCGGAUUUACUGGGCGUAAAGGGCGCGUAGGCGGUCAGCACAAGUCAGUUGUGAAAUCUCCGGGCUUAACUCGGAAAGGUCAACUGAUACUGUGCGACUAGAGUGCAGAAGGGGCAACUGGAAUUCUCGGUGUAGCGGUGAAAUGCGUAGAUAUCGAGAGGAACACCUGCGGCGAAGGCGGGUUGCUGGGCUGACACUGACGCUGAUGCGCGAAAGCCAGGGGAGCGAACGGG
rnacentral:rRNA from 1 species